UGGGCUCCGCUCGGACCCCGGCCGCCCCCCGCCCGACGGCAACGAGGCCGGACGUCCUGCCCCGCUCCCGGUCGGAGCUCCAGUACCGCUCCGUCCCGCCGGAGCUGAAGGAGCUUAUCCAAUGAUGUAAGGAAGAUGGUUACCACGUUUCUUAUUCAGUCCAUCCUAAGAAUUACAGAUGUUGGAUAAAGUCUCCCUCCUGUAACUGAAACAGCAGCAUGACUAACGAGCGUUUCUCUCCAGUGAUCUAAUGCCCAUGAAGAGAAACAGCUUAAAGAGUGACACCUGAAUGCUAGAUGACAUCCAGAUUUGCAGGUAACACGCUUUAUAAAACUUCUUGUCCUGUCUUCAAAAUCAAACAUAGCAGUAAGAGCUGCCCCUAAGGAGUAUAUAUAAUCAAGGUGCUAACAGCUUCAUUUCACAUACUGACAGAUCUCAGCCUCAGCCUGUGUAAAUCGCUGUCAUAUACUUACUCUUUCCCACAAUGCAUAUUCAGUGAUUCUUAAAAUCAGUAUAUCGUGGUUUGUCAAUAACUUACCCUACUCAGCAUUAUAAUCAAAAUAUAAGAAGCUACAGCCAAUUAACCCACUGCAGAAAUUAUGUGCAAAACUAGAGUAGUAAAAGCCAGGAAGCAUGGAAAGUAUUUCUAGAUGCCUAGCAGAAUAAUUAAGACAAGUUACUGGCCUACAAACAAUUAUCCAACUGAAUAUUCUGUCUCGGUAUCUACCAGCUGCUGAUGUGAGUGAUUCUCCAUUGCUUCAGCCUAUGCAGAUGGCAUACAAAGUCACAGGAGAUACAGUUCUACGAGUUAGUUAAGCUACAGAGAUCACAGUCCAACUCCCUUGUAAUGAACGGGGACAUCUACAGCUAGAUGAAGUAAUAAAGAGAAAAUUGAACAGACAUAAAAUUAAGCAUAGUGUGGUUACUUUGGAGAAGUCAGGAAUAAAUAAUUCCUUUUUCUGGCAGAACUAUAUGAUUUGGAAGGAUAAAACUUACCUGCAGUGCACACAUGACAAGGUGGAGUACUUAUGGUGUACUCAUGAAUCUCCGUUGUCAAAGGCAGACAAAGGAGAAGUCUAAUUUGAUGCAGACAAUAAGCAAUGAGGUGUUUAUGGUGGGAAAAGGCACCAAACAGCAUCAAGCAAGGCUACAAGACUAGGAAUAGUAGCAGCAACAGUAGAAAAAGAACAUGGAACUGAGAAAACAUACAUACCAUGGGGGGGGGGUAAGAGCUAACAAAGACUUGUCAGGGCAAGUGGCCAAGAAAACAAGAACAAUGAAGAAUAGCUGGGGCCUUUGCAAGAAUUUAAAAUAAGGAGAACAGGAAAAAAUGAGAAUCUCCGUGCUGCAGAGAAAGCAUUUGUUGGGACAGCAAAGAAGCAGGUUUGCUCUGUACACUGCAAGGAAAUCCUUGGCACAGAACUAGGUACUGCAUGGUCAUCUUGCUCAUAGCAGUGAUCUCUUCAAAAUGUUCCCUCUGGUUUCAAGCUGUUCAACAGGAAAGUUGUGACUAUUAGCAUCUGGGCUAAUGUCAUUCUACAGAUUGGGAUCUGAUGGCUCUUUUUUCCCCAUAUGUCAUUCACAAUGCCAGCAAAAUAAAUGAUCAAUUUGCAGACAUACAGUAUGCUCCUCACUUCUUACUUCCCUACAAAUAGGCAUCAGGAUCCCAGAACAACCCAGCUUGGCUGUACUUCAUAGACUCAAUUCCUACCUGAAGCCAGGGAUGCUCUAAGGCUUCCUCUAUCGUAAAACGUUUGCUUGGAUCCACUACCAGCAGCUUCUUCACAAGAUCCAGAGCUAAUAAUAAUAAGAUAAUAAGAGUUAAGCAAUCAGCUACUUUAAAAAUGCAACCAUAUCAAUAUGCACUGUACCACAGAAAUGGAAACUGAGAAAAAGUUAAAAGAAAACAGAAACUACAACAAAAGAAAAGAUCUAGACGUUCUGCUAUCUAUAUAAAGGAGUCAUACCCGUGUUGGAUACGUGUUUCCAUUCUUUUGAGAUGAAUGUGUAUUCCCCACGAGUGAUUUGGUCUUUCAGAGAUAGCUGAGUAUUUUGCUCACUAAAUGGUGGAUAUCCACACAAGCUAUAUAAAAGAAGAAAACAAACAACAAAGGUUUUGUCACACAGUGUCAUUUUACACAUACACAUUUUUAAACACGCUUUCACUUCCUACUAAAUAUACUGAAGUUGCCACAUCUUGAGCCACGUAUCUCAGUGAAAGCCCAAGGCAUCUAAGCAGUAUCUUACCAUACAAAAAGAAUAACUCCUAAACUCCAGCAGUCCACAGCUCGGCUGUAUCCAGUGGUCCCAAGUGAAUUUAGAACCUCAGGAGCAAGAUACGUGGGAGUACCACAUAAUGUUUUCAUAAGAGAAGUUUCUCCAAGAAUCUUGGAUUGUCCAAAAUCUGUAAUCUUGUAUGUAAAAAUUGUAACACCACAUUACAUAUUAGGACUGAUUGUACUAGAACAUACCGUAUCGUCAAUACACAAUAGGAGGUAACAUUAAGUCUCUUCUUUCCAAGGCACAGUUCCAGUACAAGACUAUGAACAGAAUAUACCUCAAACAUUAUUAAAGUCAGUAAGCAGCAAUUGAGGAGAAUAUGAGUAGGGAGAAAUAUGACAGAGGGUCAGACUUCAAACUAGCACAAAGUAUUCUCAAAUUUGGACAUGAACGGGCAACCUCAGAAUAAAGGUAUUUUUGCAUACUUGAACAUUUCAUUUUGACAUGCACAUCUACUUAAUGCUCUCUGAAAAAAACACAUAUAGCUGUCAUCAUACAGCCUGGAUAUUUGGGAAAAUGCUUUCUGAAAUUCACAAUCACAGAUUUCAUUUUUAAAGAUGUCUCCCCAUUUAAAGUUGUACUCAAUUUCAUGUUAAACAAUAAGGUUUCUCAGUCAUCUCACAGAAACGUAUGGGUAGAACUAAAGUCCACUAAAGUGAACACAUGAAAAGCCUCAAAGGUUACUUCAUAGCUUGUAUGAGUAACUCUAUUCUGUGUGCGUAUGCUAUGUUUAACUCAAUACUGAGAAGCACAGAAAGGAGUACUCCCAAAUCUCUACAUGAACAGUAAAAAUGUAUGUUUCCUUGCCUUUAUCAGACACGUCUCUUCACAGGAUGAAAGCAGCACAUUCUCUGGCUUCAGGUCGCGGUGUAUGAUUCCAUUGUCAUGAAGAUACUGGAUAGACACAUAUAUUUGUAAAUGAAGAAAAGCAGACAAUUAUCCUUCUUUAAGAUUUCCAGUUUUUCAAAUAGCAGUGGCAGGACAACUGAAAUUGCUAUUCAAGAGACGUGUAUGCAUUUAAAGCUACACAGCUCAUGACCUUUUUUAAAGCCAAAGAAGCCCACACUUCAGUUUGCAAAGACCAAAAUGCUCCAUCAGGACGCACAGUACAGCACUUAAGCACCAUUUGUUUGAAGGCUACUGUACUGAUAACUCUUUGCUCACACACUACUGGAAGCCUCAUGUGAUAAUCCUGCCUUAGUUAGCACAGUCUAUAUUACUGCCUCAAUCUCUGGUGGUUGUUUUUUGAAGAAUAAGAGUUUGGAUGCUAUUUGGCUGUAUUGAAAUACAGAAUCUUGUUAAAAUUACUUGUUAAUAGCACUGCACUGAUUACCUGAAUGUUUCAGAAGUGACAAAGGACAAAAAAAAUAUCAUCUAAUUGA